rnacentral:lncRNA from 1 species
CCCUAAGUUUUGAAAGGGGGAUUUCAACCCUAAAUCCCCGAGGGAGACAAUGGACAAGCGACGCAACUCCGCCGAUUCAAGACUGGAGAUUUACGGUGAGCUAGGAAUGAAGCGCGAUGAGCGCCUCACUCUCGACUUCGUGGGUCACACGUUCGUGGUUAUGGACACGCACGAGGACAAGAUCCUGUUCGUCCGCGACCGCAUUCGCGAACGCUUCCACAGUUAUGUCAUCUUUUGUAACACCGCUGAUUCGGUGGCGCUCGUCUCCAGCGCCCUCCUCUCUCCAGCGAAUGACAUGAAAUACAAUCCUUUCGACACCUUUCUCGCCGGUGACGAGUACAAGUUUCGUCGGAGACCGCGAGCGCUGGUUACAAACAGCGAUCUCAGGUAGACAAAAUUGAAUUUUUGUGACUCUUACGUUUGUUUCUCUCAGGGACGAGCGGCUGUUUGAUGAUCUCGACGGGAAUCUGGUGGUAAACUAUGACAUUCCAGACGAUCUGGCGACGUAUUACUACCGUGCUGCAAGAGUUCAUCACGACUGUCGCUCCAAAGCAGUUGUUAAUCUUGUUUUCAAAGAAGAGUUGCACAAGCUGAUGCGUCACGAGGAGCUGCUGCGGCUGGAGAUCUUGCCUAGCCGUCUUAUCAAUGUUCACAUCGACUGGGAGUACGUAUUUGUAUAAACCUCUUUCUUCUCUUUGUUCUUGACAAGCUUUUGCUCGAUCGCGUAGUGAUCCACCAUUAGGAAGAGGCUCACUUACACAGCUCCAAGUCGCGGCUGGACGAGUGAGCAUGGAUGAAUAUCGCAGGUUUGACGAAACAAGAGGGUAAGAAUGUAAAAUCUUUUCAAGUAAAAAACUCAACCUGUUGGUCUCAGGGAAGAAAGACGCAGGGAGAAGGCUCAGCGGACGGAAGCGGCGGGAAGGCAAGCAUUAAUAUUUUUCGUGUCUCUGACUGUUUUUCUAUCUCAGGGUCUCCUUGAGGGUGCCAUGGUUUCACAUUGAGGAUCUAAUCGAGCAGCCAAAAGCACGAAGCAAGAAUGUUAUCGAGCGCCCGAAGCAAGAAAGCAAGAAAAGAAAGGCAGUGGACACUACUAUCGAGCCCCCAAAGCGUUCUCGUUUGUUGCAUAGUCUCUUGGCAUGGUUUGGUUAUCCUGACUGUAUAUAAAGUGAUCUUUUCCGUGAUCGAUGAAACUUUUAAAAGUUUCUUCUGGUUCAUGGAAAAGAUCUUCAGGCAAAGAAAGUGAGAUCUUUCCUAAAUUCUUAUAGCUCGAGCUAAACUUCUUAAUUUUGCAUAGGAGAUUCAUUGCUCUAAACCUUCAAUUCUAGUAUUUCCUGAUGUCGAGAUGUGUUUGCUGCGUUGAAUCGUAAGUCAAGUAAAAAAAUCCUUGCAAGUCAAAAAUCCUAAGGAUUUGAUUCCACCAGGAGGAAGAUUUUGUAGAGCCUUUUCGGCUAGAUGCACCCACAGCUUCUGACUGGCUAGAGCCACAAGUUUUAAAAACUAGACUAGCUAGAAAUGCCCUAAGUUUUGAAACGGAGACCAUGGACAAGCGACGCACCGCCGCGGAUUCAAGGCUGGAGAUUUACGGUGAGCUAGGAAUGAAGCGCGAUGAGCGCCUCACUCUCGGCUUCGUGGGUCACACAUUCGUGGUUAUGGACACGCACGAGGACAAGAUCCUGUUCGUCCGCGACCGCAUUCGCGAACGCUUCCACAGUUAUGUCAUCUUUUGUAACACCGCUGAUUCGGUGGCGCUCGUCUCCAGCGCCCUCCUCUCUCCAGCGAAUGACAUGAAAUACAAUCCUUUCGACACCUUUCUCGCCGCUGACGAGUACAAGUUUCGUCGGAGACCGCGAGCGCUGGUCACAAACAGCGAUCUCAGGUAGACAAAAUCGAAUUCUUGCGACUCUUACGUUUGUCUCCCUCAGGGACGAGCGGCUGUUUGAUGAUCUCAGAGGGAAUCUGGUGGUAAACUAUGACAUCCCAGACGAUCUAGCGACGUAUUACUACCGUGCUGCAAGAGUUCAUAACCGCUGUUCCUCCAAAGCAGUUGUUAAUCUUGUAUUCAAGGAGGAACUGCAAAAGCUGAUGCGUUACGAGGAGCUGCUGCGGCUGGAGAUCUUACCUAGCCGUCUUAUCAAGCUUCACAUCUACUGGGAGUACGUAUUUUACAGUCCUCUUUCUUCUCUUUGUUCUUGACAGGUUUUUGUAGUGAUCCACCCUUGGAAAAAGGCUCACUUACACAGCUUCAAGUCGCGGCUGGACGAGUGAGCAUGGAUGAGUAUCGCAGGUUUGACGAAACAAGAGGGUAAGAAUGUAAAAUCUUUUCGAGUGUAGAAACUCACCCUGUGGGUGUCAGGGAAGAAAGACGUAGGGAGAAGGCUCAGCGGAUGGAGGGAAGGCAAGCAUUAAUACUUUUCGUGUCUCUGACUGUGUUUCUCUAUCUUAGGAUCUCCUUGAAGGUGCCAUGGUCUUACAUCGAGAAUUUAAUCGAGCAGCCAAAGGCACGAAGCAAGAAAGUGGACACUAUCGAGCCCCCGAAGCGAGGAAGCAAGAAAAGAAAGGCAGUGGACACUACUAUCGAGCCGCCAAAGCGUCCUCGUUUGUUGCAUAGAUUCUUGGCAUGGUUUGGAUUGUAAAAGAGGAACGUACACCUCACUGUAUAUUUCCAUGGUCCGGAACUUUUAAAAGUUCUUAAUGUGAAAAAGAAUCAUCUUUCCCAAAUUUCUUCUAGUCAAUAUGUUCGAGCUAAACUUCUUUGCAUAAGCAUUCAUAUAUUCAACUUGCCACCAUUUAGUGCUCCCUUCAAUCCUAAGAUGAUUGAAAGAACUACUAUUUCCUGAAGUUGAGAGGGACUGUGUCCGGGGUAAAGUAGUCUCUAUGAGGUGUACGAAAGUGCAAAUCCUACGCGAGGUCGACUAGCUCUUUGUGGAUCGAGAAGCUAAUGCUGCUAGGCGAGCAAAGGCUUGACAAGCACCCAGACCGGUUGGAAAACAAAUGGUGCAUCAACAAAUAGAACUUUUGCUAGCUUCCUUUGGUAGUAACAGUAAAAGAUGUCGAUCUUGCACAAACAAGCAAGAUCUUCCUUCUCUUCCUCCUUAAGCACUCAAAUGUGGAAGGAGGACUAAACUGGAAGUAAAACUAUCAACAUGGUGCUCAUAGUGGUUUGUACGGGAAAAAUCCUCACCCACGAUUAGCCAUGUUGCAGCCGUGCUGCUACCCGCGAUUGGGAUGUGAAGAUUCACGUGAUGACGGUCCUGAGGAUGGAGUUUGUUGCGUAUCACUUGUCCGGAGGUGGUGUGGCGAAACCACCACAACUAUUAUCAUGACGCCUCCUCAGAAAUUAGCUGUAAUGCAAAGGGUCUGACUGCCCAGAAUUCAACCAAGAGCCAGGCAUGCUACGAGCAACACAUAAGGAAUUCGAUGUACUUAGCAGCUGCACUGUCUUUGUAUGUCGCGAGUGAUCUCUCCGAAACCGGCAGUGGGUCUGUAGCGAGUUUUACGGUCAGUCGGUCAUCACCUCUCUCUGUUGUAGAAAAAUGAGGUGAUAGCGAAUUGCAUUUCUAAUCGCACCAGAUUGGAGAUGCCUGCAUCGAACCACCAGACUCCAUGUUUGAAGCCACACCUGAAUAAACUCAUCUCCAAUUCCAAGCUUUAUGAUCCGGUUGAUUCAUGCGCAUAUGUCCUCAGAAUCCUGCUCGAUCGAACCAACCCAUCACUCCAACAUCGAUUGGCAUAGUGUUGCAUUGUGACAUCCCAUGAUGUUCUGUUACAUAAUGUGACCAUCAUCGUCAUAGCGUUAUAUAAUUUCUUCAAAUGAGAGUUCCACAAUGUUGGAGGUGGUUUUAAGGUUCCCAAGCAUGAACCACAUCUACUUGGUGAUAGAUUAACUCAUGGUGGCAGUGUAGCUUGUAGAUUUUGUUCUUGAUUCCUAGUUCCAUGUCCUAUGUCUCAUAAUUUUCUUGGAAUUAUGUGAUUGUGUAUUUUUGCAGAGAGAGCUCUAUAUAGCACUUUGUGUUGCACUAUAGAGUUGCUCAAAAUCCCAUGGCUCGAUCAACACCUAGUUUAUAGAGUGUUUAAGAAUAUCCAAAGCUAAAUUACAUUUAAUUAUAUUGGUAAAAUCAAAAAUUUUAAAACCUUAUGAUUAUAUUAUAAUUUUCAAAAUGGAUAUUCUACGAUAUUUUACUAUCUAAUAGUUGUUAUUUAUAUAGGUUAGUUUUGUAUUUAUAAUUUAUAAAUUCCAUAGUAUAUUCUUGUUCAUUCUACCAUCUAGUGGUUGAUGAAUCUUAUAUUACAAACAUUUUAAUAAUUAUUAAUCAAUUAGAUUAUUCAAUAAUAAUAAACAAGAAUUAUAAAGCAAAUUAAGUGUUAUUGCAUGCAAUUUGCAAUAAACUAUUAUACUUUCUUAAGCAUUUUAAGAUUUUAAAAAGAUAAUAUAUUAGGAAUAUUCUGAAACAUCCCUUAAAUAGCAAAAUAAAAAAAAAUUUAAACAUUGCAUUCAAUUAAUGAAAUAUGAAAUCAUCUUUAUAAGGAUUUACAUGGUGGAGAUAAUAGCAUUUGGAACUCAUCUUUAGCUUUUGUAGGAUCUUUUAGUUAAGUAAUAUAUUAAUUAUAGUACUAUAACAUAUAAAUUGUAUAUAAGGAAGGGUUUAAACCCCAUCCUUGGAGGGCAAACCUUUUUUGCAAUGUUUUACUCUAGUGUUUGGGAUUUUAUUUUUGUUUUUUAUUCCUUUAUUUCUCUUUUAAAUCUAGAUUUGUAUUAAUUUUUUUGUAAAUUCUAGAAUUCUUGCUAUUGUUGUGUUUAGAUUUGCUCUUCUUUUUACUCUUCAUUGCAUUCCCUUCUUAUGCCAUACCACAUUAUUACCAAUGAAAGAGUAUGUCAUUUGAGGCUAUUGAUGCUGCUUUAUUAAAUUAAGUUUUUAGUGUUCUAGGGUGUGAUUAUAUUGCUCUAUAUCAAUAAAAAAUGGUAAAACACUAAGAAUAUGAUAAGUUGUGUAAUUAUAUCUCACAAAAGUUGGAGACAACAACACACCAAGGAUGGGUAUAACACUAUAAUCGUAACAUUGAUUAACGAGAUAUAAAUGAUGCAAUUUGGUUUUUGGAAAAUGUUUGAAGAUCGAGCUUAUGAAAAGAUGAUGUGUAUGAGCUUAAGUGAAUUUCAUAUUGUAAUGAUGAGUUUGAUUAUUAUAAAGAUAGAUUUGGAGAUGAAAUAGAGAUUUUGUGGGGUAAGUAUUAAUCUUUUAAUUUACCAUCAGAUCCUUUUUCUUUACCUUCUCAUCUUUCCCAACUAUUUUUUUAUUUUUCAGCUUGAACCACUUUUUCAUAUUCUUAGUUGUAAGUCAUAAAUUUUUUAAUCCAAAGUCCUUUAGCUUGGAUAACUACUUAGACAUGGUUUGAAAGUAGACUAAGUUUUGAGAUAACAUAAUGUUUUAAUUAUAAUUUUGCUUUUGUCAAAGCCUUGUAAGAUUUAGAUGAAUAAUUCUUUAAUUUUUUCUUCACUAAAGCUAGCUUUAGUUCUUUUCAAACUGGAGUCAAAGACAAUAGUUACAGACGACUAAUUUUCCUACUUGUAUAUGCCUAAAACAAUUAUGACACACUUAUGAAAAAUAUGUCCUCUAAUACUUAAGUGAGAACUUGCUUAGAAGAAAAGACUUCUAGAGUAGUUAAUUAUGCUUUCCAUAUCAAACAAACUCCAUUCUUUCUUCUUUUGGAUUUUUCUCAUAAAAUUACUUGUAAAAUAAUUUAAACUUGAAUUUCUUGGCAAUAUAUACUGUAUUUCAAUUUCAAACUCAUCCCAUCUUUAUAGCUUUGGUGACAGAUAAAAAUUUUAUUCACUUUUGGUGGCCAUAGUGGGAUAAGCUAGCACUCUAGCUUGAAAAAUAACCAAGAGAAAAUCAUUUGUAAAUUUCAAAUGUGCUCAACACUAAGAAUUAUAAAUAGAUCUUUUAAAUGAUUGCAGAGGCCCUGAAACCCAAACAACACUGAACAAAAGAGUUUUUUUUGCGAUUACAGUGGCAUAAUGUUUAGAUAACACAAGAAAGAUAGUUUUCUGUAUCUAUACUUGCAUUCUUGCCUUUACCUACAAAAUAGUGACAAAUAAACAAAAACAAGAACAUAGAAGGAGAAAAAAAGAAAAUAAAGAAAAGGAGAAUAAAAGAGAACUCAUCAUUAAACCCUAAAGACAUGAGUAAGGAUAAGUAUAUAUCACUAUCUCAACUCUAUUUUGCAUAAACAAUUAUAAAUGGGAGAAACAUGGUUAAUUCAAUGCAAAUUGUUUUUUAGCAUAGUUAAGUAUAUAAUUUUAUAACCAUUUCUAAUUGCUUCACAUUUGUCUAUAAUGAGCAUUGCUUAAGUCAAAUCUUUCUUCUUUGAAUGCCUAAGCUUAAGUGUAACUCCAUUUCGCCUAAAUUUCCUUCUUUACUUUAUUUGGGAAGAUAUACAAAAUAAAACAUUUACUUCUUCAUUACACUAAGUAGGAGUUGGUACAAUAGACAGAACCUUGGCAAUAAAACUUAACUAAGGCCAAGGCAGUGGUUGUUAAAUAAACAAGGUAAAACUGACAAAUUACAAAAGUAUCCCAAGUUUAAAUUUUCUAUGCAUAUUGCAAAAGCUUAUGAAAUUUGAACAAGUCAAAAAUUUGGAAGCAAUUAUCACAAACCACUUUAACCAUUUGAACUAUUUUACACUUAAUACACAUAGCCAAAUUAAUCAAAGCUCAAAAUCUGUCAUAAAGACUUGUAUUAACCAUAAUCGCCCAUUAGCAAAGAAGUUAAAGAGAAAUUUGUCUUGAAAAACAUUUUUUGUCUAGAUAAGUGUUAACAAAUUAACUGAUCAGAUUCAACUUAGACACUCUUUAUUAACUUAAUUAAAUUCAUCUAAAGGAUUGUUUCGACAAUGUAGAAGCGUUGUAAGUAUCAAGUUGUAAGUUGAUAUAAAUACCUCUUACAUGUUACCAUUUGUCAUUUUAGCAUUUGGAACAAUUAAUUCUUCUUCUUCUCCUGCUGCUGCUGUUGCUGCUUUGUGAUCCCCUCUGCGCGAUGGAAUCCAGUCGCAUUCUGACACGUGGCCAAAAAGUAUAUUCGCAUAUAUUCCCUGAUGGACCGCUUCUGUGGAGCUUGUCCCAAUAGCCAUCCGAAGUGUAUAAAUUCCUGCAAGAAUCUGGCGUUUAGAGCCUACAACAAUGCCGAAUUGAUCGAGUGACCAUUAUCAGGUUCUCCAGGCAUUGGAUUCAGACGAAAACAGACGCUCACAGAGCUGCAGAAUAGCAGAAGUUUUUGUCAGUGUUGCCAGUUUUUGAUAGCCUAAAGCGUGGACCAGACUCGAGUAGCUUCUCGAAAUGCCUUGCUAGCCUGAGCUGGUGGUGCCUUACGUGUUCUCGCAGCUUGGUAGCACCAUAGAGUCGCAUGACGAGCCAUAGCUUCAGGUUAUUUGGUGUCAUUAAAACAGAACACUCACCUUAGUUCUCAAGCACUCCGGUAUCACAGAAAGAACUGAAGUUAAAAGCCUCGAAUCCUGAUAGGUGUGUCAAUAGGACUCUCUAGCAAGCUCAGAAUGAUACCUUAACCCAAAGCGCUGAACAGUCAAAAGUUGAUACCGUCAAGGACCACAUUCUACCCAAGAAUAUAGACGUUCUCACCUUUGCAUGACUGUGCUCCAGGCUAUCAUCUUCAAAUCGCAUUAAAAGAAAGAUCUGGACCAAAGUCCAGCUCCACCAAACUUGUGAAGCGGGCAGCAAAGCUUCUGCAGCAUGAAAGGUCCAGCUCGGGUGCAUAAACAGAAGCUAUUUUCAGCUGUUUCUAGCAUCUGGUAGCCCCCUUCUAUUGAAAGACUUUGGCAAGACUUUAAAGCCACACACCGAAUCUGGCUUCCUUCAGCGAGAUUUCCAAAAUCGCUGCGACCCAGCAACGCUUCGUUGUUCUUCGUCCUCCUCUUCAACCUCGUUUUCCAAUCUAGGCCAGCCAUGAUCUGAAACAACUCAAGACUCAGAAACUGAAACAAGUUGACAGGAAGUUCCGAUUUUCUGCUGGCAGCCUGGCACUCGGCGAGUAUAUUGACCAAGGCGUCCAUUCGCUUCUUCACCUCGGCGUUGUGAGUGCUCGCCCACAACUUCGCAGUCGCACUGAGAUAAUGACCUGCGCAGCAGAAUUCAUCCAUAAGAUUCACUCUGGAAACUAGCAGCUUUUAUGAUCGAUCAGGGCUGCCCCGGGCCCGGGAUCGAACGACUGCGGGGGUUUGGGCCCUUUGUUCUUAAAUGUCUGUUUGCAAAUCUUUAUAUAAAAUAUAUUUGGAAUAAUUGUACAGAAUGUUUAAAAAAUAAGGCACAAAAACUGCAAUAAAUAGCAUAAGGAGAAUGGUAAUAAACCUACAAAAUAUUAAAGCUAAAAUCAUCAAUGAUUUAGAUAUAAAAUUAACAUUAAAAUAAUUGUAAAGGAUAUGUGUUUUUUGAUAUACUUCCACCUUGCCAUCAACAUAAGUGCAGCUAAAAGUGGAAAUUUAGUGAUUGGGAUUAAAAUCCCAAUCCAAUUAACAAUUCUGGAAAUUAUCAAAGAAUGAGGUAAAUUAGUAGUAACAAGAGAUUGGGUUGUAUGCCUAAGCAUAAUAGCUCUAGCUUCACCAAUGUAAAAACCUAGUAUAAAUUUAGUGUUAAUAUAAGGAGGAAUAAAAUUAAAUAAAAAGGGUGAAUAAACAAUGCCAUCCAAAUUUCUUUAUUAUAUAGAAAUAUUUAUAGUAUUUUACCUAUAUUAAUUAUUUCUAAAAUGGUCUUGUGGACUCUCUUUGAUUUCCCAAUGGAUGAAUAAAUGCUAGGAAACACUGGAGUGCUCCAAAAGUAAGAAAACAAAUUCUAAAUACUUUAAGGAUUUCACUUAAUUUUAGUACUAUUGAUAUAUGAUGAAAUCCUGUUUCUUUUGCACUUAAAAAAUAAUAAAUUAAAAACAGAUUAAAGGGUAAAUAUAAAUAUGAUGUACUUAUGGAUAGCACACAUCCCAUAACAAUAAUUAAUGAUAAGUUGCAAGGAAAGAAAAAAAUGACAUGAUAGUCAAAUGCUGCCAUGUCAUUAGCAAUAUAAUAAAAAAUCCUAUCAAAAUAGCAAUAUCACGACCUUGGAAAAUGUUGAAGUGGAGGUGUAUAAAGUGGGGCAUUGCAAUUUCUGACAUGUCAUUAAUGGAUAUAAAAAAUCCCACUAAAGUUUCAAAUAUCUCUAGAUAAAACAAAGUAGUGAUGACAUAAUGUCUCUAAUGUGGGAAGGUCUGCUUUGCUAAUGUCAUGUAAAAAUUUGCACUACUAGAUUCUAUACAUUUGAACAUAAGGAGGGUGGCAUUUCAAUAUCAUCAUUGCUAGUAUUAUUUUCCAUAUAUUUGAAAUGAAUGUGCUUGUGGUGCUCUACUAUCCUUAGCCCAGAUGGAUUAUGUUUAAAAUUAUGAUAUUGCUAUUUUGAUAGCAUUUUUUAUUAUAUUGCCAAUGAUGUGAUAACAUUUAACUAUCAUGUCAUUAUUUUCUUUCCUUUGCAACUUGUCAUUAAUUAUUGUUAUGGGAUGUGUGCUAUCCAUAAGUACAUCAUAUUUAUAUUUUCCCUUUAAUCUGUUUUUAAUCUAUUAUUUUUUAGGUGCAGAAGAAAUAGGAUUUCAUCAUAUACCAAUAGUACUAAAAUUAAGUGAAAUCCUUAGAGCAUUUAAAAAUUUUUCUUUUACUUUUGGAGCUACUCUAGUGUUUCCUAGCAUUUAUUCAUCCAUUGGGAAAUCAAAGAGAGUCCACAGGACCAUUUUAGAAAUAAUAAUAUAGGUAAAAUACUAUAAAUAUUUCUAUAUAAUAAAGAAAUUUGGAUGGCAUUGUUUAUUCACCCUUUUUAUUUAAUUUUGUUCCUCCUUAUAUUAACACUAAGUUUAUACUAGGUUGAGUUUUAUACUUGCAAUUAGAAUUUAUAUAAUACUUGGUGAAGCUAGAGCUAUUAUGUUUGGGCAUACAACCCAAUCUCUUGUUACUACUAAUUUACCUCAUUCUUUGGUAGUUUCUAAAAUUGCUAAUUGGAUUGGGAUUUUAAUCCCAAUCACUAAAUUUCCGCUUUUAGCUGCACCUAUGUUGAUUGACAUGGCAAGGUGGAAGUAUAUCAAAAAACACAUAUCUUUACAAUUAUUCUAAGGUUAAUUUUAUAUCUAAAUCAUUGAUGAUUUUAACUUUAAUAUUUUGUAGGUUUAUUACUAUUCUCCUCAUGCUACUUAUUGCAGUUUUUGUGCCUUAUUUUUUUAACAUGAUCGAGUUAGUAUGGUCAUCCUUAACUAUUGCUCUUUGCACAAUUAUUCCAAACAUAUUUUACAUGAAGAUUUGCAAAUGGACAUUUCAAGAAAGCAUCUAUAAUAAUAAGAACAAAGGGCCCAGACCCCCGCAGCCGUCCGAUCCCGGGCCUAGGGCAGCCCUGCUUAUGUUUUGCUUUUAACAUUGUGGCUGGGCUUUCUGGGAUGAACAGAGGGCUGCGUCUAUUGUUCAAUCACUCCAUAGCAAUGCCUUGCUGCUGCUGAUGAUGAUGAUGAAGAUGGUUAUGGUGUUCGCUGUGAAAUAGAUUUGGGCUAAACAGAUAAUGGUGUUGCUGAAUUCAGCUAUGCCAAGCUCAUGUACCUCAAGUUCAUGGCCAUUCCUUGCCCCUGCGGAAAGUCCAGAUCGAUGCGGCACCUUAAUCCAGGCAGCAAUAGAAUCUUUGGAGGAACUAGUACCCAUUGCAUCAAGCAGCAGUAGAUCUAAUCAACUGCCCAGCAGCCCCAGCUCCAUGGAUCCCUACGAAGUGAUGCAGCUAGUGUUCACCAGAGUUCAAGCUCAGGAUCCGGAUUCUGGAAAGUGGCUCCAAUAUCAUGGGCUACUUGUUGCUGGACUGAAGCAAGUAGGAAAUGGCUCAAUUGGCAGUGAACUCCGAUGCGCUGCUUCAAUCCAGAGUCAAGACCAAACUCUGAUCCUCAUGCUCAAUGUGGGUAAUAUGGCAUAUAGCUUCUACAACACUUCUAGACUCCCCAGUGCCUUAUGGAUGCUGGGAAGCUCCAAAUCAAGAACUCAAGGGGCACUUUCUUGAUAUGUCUAUUGUAAGUACUGCCAUUCCUUUUGUUUCUUGAUCAUCCUUGGUAUAGAACUGCUAGAACUUCUCAUUGAUCAUAAAAGCUACUAGUUUCCAGAGUGAAUCUUAUGGAUGAAUUCUACACAGCCCAAAGGGCAUCACUAGAAACUCAAUGCUUCCAUACUUUGUUUGAUAAGUUGUCUUCUCGACAUCUUCUUCUACUACUUUGAUCUAGUAGUAUUUUGACCUUACAUCAAUCCUCGAUAAGUAUUUCACUUUUCCCAACAUAUCAAAUAAGUCCUCAAUCCUUGAUAAAGGGUACUUAUUCUUGUUUAUAUAUUUGUUGAGCAACUCAUAGUCUAUACACAUGCACAUAAAUCCAUUUUUCUUUGUUACAAAUAACAUCAGUGCUUUAUAUAAUGACUUGCUCAACUUAAGAUACCAUUUAUCCACCAACUCCUCAAAUUGGCACUUGAGCUCCUCAAGUUCCUUUUAAUUCAACUGAUAGGGGGAUGAACCACUGCUUUAACACCCUCGACCAGCAUUCUAUUGGUCGUAUAAGGGGUAAUCCUGCCGGUAGUUCCUUCGGUAUGGUAUUUUGAAAUUGGUUUAACACCUGCUGGAUCACUAAAGGUAUUUUUUUUGUUCCCAUCUUUUUAUCACUCCCCACUAAGAGUAAAUACAAAAAUGCAACCUUAGUUCUUUUAAUGAGUUGUCCUUUCAUGAACACUAGGUUUAAGCAAGAGUCUCUGGCCUUACAUUGCUCUACCUUUAGAUCUUGGGCUUCCACCUUUGAUCAUUUUCCCACCAAGUUUUUACCUUGUCCAUGUAGGGCAUAAAUUAAUUGAACCAAUCCAUCCCAAAUAUUAUAUCAAAUUCUAUCAUAUCCAAUAUAGUGAAAUCCAUGUCUACUUUCCAUGUCCCUACUUCAACUCUUCCUUGUUAAAAUACUUCAUCGGCACUUUGGCUAUCUUGAACAAACUUUAUAGUCCUUGGCCAGCCAUUGCACCGUUGUCUGGUUUGCCAAACUAUAUUUGUAACCACAAAAUUAUGCAAAACACUCGUGUUAAUAAGGAUCUUGAUAAAGCUACUUUCGAGCUUCCCUCAGAGGGUUAGUAAAUGUCGUAAAUGACUCUUUACCAAAGUUGUUCAUAUAAUGGGUAACCUUGAGUUAGGGACUAGAUCAUGUACCUCAGUUUGAAUUUCACCAGACUUAAUAAUCAUAUUGACUCUUGCCUUCUUCAGGUAAGGACAUUCUUGUAAGCGACUAAAUUUUCCAUUCUACUUUAGUCAUUUAACCACACCUCCGACCACUUGGAAGAGUCUCAUUCACAACCUCCAUAAGUCCAAUUUAGAACUUGGGACUUGCUAGCCCCAAGAAUGGCAUCCAUGCCACUCAACCUUUGCACCUGGUCCAAAUGCUCCACAUGUCCGAUCCCAUGAUUGACACUCAAAGGUACCACCGACAUAGCAGCCUGUUACACUAAGGCCAUGUCCAAUCACCUUUACCGCACUGGUAGUCCAAUACCACUUGCAACACAGUCUUGUCUCUUCAAGACUGGGCCAACCAUCCGUGAAUGGUCAUCUCAGAUCCACUCCUUAGCAUCCUUAGGAUGCCCACUGACAAGGGGAACAACCUUCCCCAAUAUCCCUCUGUCCGUCCCCACUAAGUCCCUUUUUGCCCUUGGCCGUGUUUGCCAACACUGCCACUGGGUCGAGGCCCACAAGCCUGACCACUAAGUCCCAUGGUCCUCUGGGACUUCCUCACCACGUGACCGUAUCCUUGGCCACCACACCAAAGAACUGCUCCUUUUCCUUUCCACAGUCUGGGACUUUGGGACAACACUUCAAAAUACCGUGGCCUUACAUAAGCCACCUGGGUACUCUCCCCGCCUUCCACCUUUGGGUGCUCUAGCCAUGGGCUUAGAGCGAGGUUCCGUUGAGCCACGCUUGGUAUCCAAGUAGGUAGUGCCACCCACACUUGGACUGGGAGUAUCGGCUAGUCGAUCUCCCGGGGGAACUAGAGCUGGCUCUUGAACAUUUCACCAAGCUACCUCGCUUGUCGGUCCGUAUUCACUCUAGUCUUGGACUUCCCAGUGGUCAGUUCAUCACCCAACACUGGAUCUGGCCUUUCCUGGCCAAACUGGCUCCAUUGCAGUCCUCCCCCUUACUAUACUUUUGGAGCUCACCAAACCCCCCAGGGUCUGGGAGACGAAUGCUUUGGGCUUUCACCCUCUCAGACUCGAACUCGGACUCGGACUUGGACUCGGACUAGGACUCGGACUCGGGCUCAAGCUCAGUCUCGGCCUCGGCCUUGGUCUCGGUCUCGGUCCCGGUCUCGGUCUCGACCUCGAACUCCAUCUCGGGUCCUUCUCGGACUCCAUCUUGGAUUCCAUCUCGGGUCCAUCUCGGACUCCAUCUCGGGCUCUGUCUCGGACUCCAUCUCGGACUCCAUCUCGGGUCCAUCUCGGACUCCAUCUCGGGUCCAUCUCGGACUCCAUCUCGGGUCCAUCUCGGGUCCAUCUCGGACUCCAUCUCAGACUCCAUCUCGGGUCCAUCUCGGACUCCAUCUCGGGUCCAUCUCGAACUCCAUCUCGGGUCCAUCUCGGACUCCAUCUCGGGUCCAUCUCAGACUCCAUCUCAGACUCCAUCUCGGACUCCAUCUCAGACUCCGUCUCAGUCCAUCUCGGACUCCAUCUCGGGUCCAUCUCGGACUCCAUCUUGAGUCCAUCUCGGACUCCAUCUCGGGUCCAUCUCAGACUCCAUCUCAGACUCCGUCUCGGUCCAUCUUGAACUCCAUCUCGGACUCCAUCUCGGGUCCAUCUCGGACUCCAUCUCGGGUCCAUCUCGAACACUUCCACGUGUCAUGUGUUGGUCCUUUUUGGGUCCUUUUUUGGAGCCUUGCUUAUUGGUUGCCUCGUGCUCGCUCCUUGAGCACUUUGUUGGGAGUUCCACUCCCGCUCUCGACCUUCCAAGUCGGAGCUUUUGAUCCAAAUGUGUUAUGCUCAUUUGGCUUUUGCUUCAGCCACUACCAUGUGGCACCCUUUCCGGCUCCACUUUGGGGCCUAGGGAUUUUGUGUCUCACAACUCCACCACCCAUAGACGAAGUUCGAUGUCCUCAUCAAACGGUAAACCAUUUUAUAAAGUAACACCCGCAUGUGUUACCAUUUCCAUCCUUGGCACCUAGCCUAUAUUUGUCAAUGGUGUGAUAUUGAAGGCUCACUAUGCCUUCUCCAUAUUCGUCAAUGGUUUGACACCAAAAGCUCACCAUGCCUUGCCUAUCCUCUAAGGAGCAUAGUCUUUCCAACAUGAAGACUUAUUCAACCACCUGGGGUGGUUUACUCCCUUUUAUUGGUUUAGUUCUUGCUAAACCUAUUAAAGACAUCUUCUCUAACUCAAUUCUCACUACUCCUACUCAAGUGGUCUCAGUUCCCAUCGAUAUAACUUUUGCACUUUGGAACUUUUAAUUUUGACUUCCUAAAGUCAAUUUCCUAGGUGUCUCCAACACCUUGCUUUGCACCUUUUGUGCAACUCCGCUUCCCCAUCCUAGGAAGUUCUCUACUCAAGGGCACCAUCAUCCUCUUUUCUAUUUUGUGCCACCAUUGGCACUAUGUUCCCAUUAUCAUUAUUUAUGCCACGACCCUACCCUUUGGCUACUUUGCCGCUCCUCACUUGGAGCUUUUAUUUCGCCAAAUUGGAGCACUUGGGAAUCUAUCCUUGGAAGUCCACUUCCCUUCCCACAAUCCGUUAGCACCCAACAUGUUAGUGUUCUCUGCCUAACUUUGCCAUUUGGUUUCUUUCCCAUGAUUCCCAUGGCUCUUUUCUUAGCCACUAGUCUUUUGCUCCUAUCCUUGAUUGUUACACCUAACAACAUUGGAUCACUACCUCCAUUCUUGAGGUAUCCUUUUGAUUCUAUAGCAAAGAUUUUGCUUUGCCAAGUCCAAAGGGUGUUCACCCUUAGUACGUUUCUUUAACAUUUCCUGUUGUGGGCUCUAUCCACGGCCCAAUUUUUGAGACCCUCCUUGGAUCUUUUAUAAGGACUACUUUCCUCAAACUUACUAUGCCAUAGCAGUGACAUAGCUCAUUUCCUAUAGGUGCUCUUUCCACUUGGUCAUCUUGACCAAGCCACACCAUUAUCAAUAGUUCAAAUCAACACUUUGAACUAGGAAUCAUAUCCCUUAACCUAAACAAAGACCUUAUCCUUGUUUAGCCACAAGAUCACCUAGUGAUCUCAUCUUGACCCCUUAAUAAGUCUACCAAUAGAGACUAGAUCUUCCAGACCCUUCUAAGUUGUUGACUAUGACCCCGGGGGCAUCCCCCACACUUGGCAGUGUGCCCAAGCCAGCCCUUCUGACCAAGGAUCCAUAGCAACUGAGACUGAGUGUCCCCAUCUCAUUCACCACGUCCUUGGUGCCCUUUGCACUAAAGUGUUCAAGUUAGAUAUGCCGAGCUUUCACUCUAAGCAAUCUAACCGUGUAUCACGACUCUGGGGCAUCCCCCGCUUGGCAGUGUGCCCAAGCCAAUGUCCUCGACUCUCCACGCCGGUGCACCAACUUAUAGUUAAAGUGCGCUAUAGAUCACAGCUUAGGAGCCUAGUUCCCCCGCACUGCCAAGUCCUCUCACUUGACAAGUCUAUGAUCAUGCAUGGACUCCUCCAUGUUCGGCCCCAUGGGCCACCCUUUUUGAAGUUAGCACCUUCAACUAGGGUAUUUGUUCCCCCGACUUGCCACUCUCGCUUGGCAAGUCCUUCGACCACUAUAACAUGGUUUCUGCAUAAGCGUGAAAGUCCUUGACCAUCGACUUUCAUUCAAAGCCUUCUUUUUGAACACUCAGGAACUACUUCCCUAACCUUGAUAGCCUUGCCUCAUGGCAAGCUUCAAGACCACGUUUCUGCUGUCCCACUUUGAUUUCGCGCGUUCCAUGAACCAUUUACACUUGGCCUUUCUAGGUACUAAGCUACCUAGAAUCGUCUUUGGGAACUUUGAAGGAACUUUGUCCCUUAGCUUGCUAAGGCCUCCCUUUACAUAAGCUUUCUAGUUGCCAUAUAGUCUAAUAUGGACAACUCCAUAUUUUAGACUCUCCAUGGCAUCACAGUUGCUAGCAACAACACCCUCGAGCCCCCACUUGAUUCUCCACUCCCAGUUAGCAUAACCAACCUUGGUUAUUGUAAGCCACAAAUUUUUCCUUUCCAAUUUGCCAGCUUACCUCGUCUAUCCGACCAACUCUGCCUUGGCUUGUGCUAAGUUCCCUCGCCAAGGUUCUCGCCUAUGGUACCAACUCCUACUUGGUCCUACUUGGUUUUAGCUACUCACUGCACGAGCAAUGGAGUGUUAGCCAUCCAUCUACGGAUUCCCAAAUCUCUCCCAAUCCCCCUCCCCGGGUUAGACUGGACUUAAGGUUCGGCUACACUCCCCGCAGGCACAAGCAGCCAAGCACACCAAGCCUCCAGAUUCCUAACACCCCUUGGUACCACAAGACUUGAUCAUGGGACCCUCUAAAUCCCAAGUCUUGGGUGCAGCACUUGCUUCGGGACGUCGGGGCGAAACACCGUGGCCUAACGGCCCGGUAUGAGUACCUCUACCCCCCCUCUUCCAUCCCGAAGGGAAGGCCCAAGCCCCCGGAAGGGCGAGGACCAAUGAGCCACAAGGUACUCAAGUGGGGCACCACUCCACCUGAGCCGGGAGCACCGCAGUCGGUUUCCCUUUCGGGAGUGGGAGCUGCUCUUGAGCACUUCCUUGGAUGGCCCCUCCGGCACCAGCCAAGUCCAUGCUCACUCCCACCCAAGGCCCCUCGGUCCCAGUCUCAACCUCAAGUCGGUUUGGAAGCCCAACUGGAGAGUCCCUUCAAAACUGGUUCCUGGACCUCACUAUCCCUACUAUACUUUUGGAACCCCCUGCAGCCCCCCCCCCCCCCCCCCCCCCCCUGGGAGACGCACGCUUUGGGCUUUCACCCCUUGACCCAUAUUAGUAUUUGGACUUAGUCUCUGGCUCGAUCUCGGACCCAAUUUCGGAUCCGACUUCGGAUUCGGUCUCGGACUCGAUCUCGGACUCGAUCUCGGACCCGAUCUCGGACCCGACCUCAGACUCGACCUCGGACUCGGUCUCGGACCCGAUUUCGGAUCUCGGACUCCGUCUCGAACUCGGUCUCGAACUCGGACUCGAACUCGGACUCGAACUCGGUCCCCGAGUUGGUCUCGGACUCGAUUCCGGACUCUAUCUCGAACUUGGUCUUAGAGUCGGUCUUGGACUCGAUCCUCGACUUGGUCCCAUCCGAUGAACUCUUUGUCAUUUCUGUCAAGCUUUUGGGGAUCCUUUAGCCUACGACAUCUCGGGGAGUCGGUUCCUUACAACUCUACCACCCAUAGAAGAAGUUCGAUGCCCACAUCGAACGUCUUGUUUUAUCCUAUGACUUGUUGACCAUGUCUCCGGGGGCAUCCCCCCACUUAGCGGUGUGCCUAAGUUAGCCUCCCCGGCCAAGAGCCCAUGACAACGGAAUAUAGGUGUCCCUAUACUCCUCACCUCACCACGCCCUAGUAUGGGGUCGGGACUUGAACCCAGCCUUGCUUUACUAGGGGGUUGGGACUCGAACCCAACCUCCGUAGAAUACGUCUACGGAUUCGACAUCCCCGCGGGGAGUCGGGCGUAGUGCCCUACGCCUGGUCGACCUAUCCAACCCAUGCUAAUUAGCUUACCUUUGGCACGCCUUCGGGUCCCAACAUAUGCCAUUUGCUCAACUUUGCAAAUUGAUAUUUUUAAUUGAAUUUUGCAUAAGUACAUAGAGUUCUGCCUUGCAGAAAUUUCUCCACUAGAUCUCGCGCGUUCGCUAGGUUCUCCUCCGGUUCCCAUGUUGCUUCGCAGUGUGGAAAUCCUUUCCACUUCACAUGGAACUCUCUCACCUCGUGUCCUUGUCGCUUGCUCUUGCGCGCAUUGAGGAUGGCCUCGACUUCGUAUUCCUCUUCCCCUUGGAUAACCUCAGGUAAAGGUCUCACUUGGUCCUUGCGAAGCGGAUCCUCAAAGUACGGCUUGAGUAAGUUCACGUAGAACACUGGGUGCAUCUUCCCCAUCUCUCGAGGAAGUCGGAGUCGGUAAGCCAUUUUACCGAUUCGUGCCUCAAUCUCGUAAGGCCCCGCGAACCUGCUUAAGGAACUCAAGAUCAAUUCAUUUACAGGAAUACAUGCAUCUUUACCUUUGGGUCAACUUUCGGCUGAUCCCACUUGGUAGUCUGAGGUUCUUGGUGUUCAGCCACACCUUCUCCCCAGCUUGGAACUCUACAUCCCGACGCUUCUGGUUCGCGUAUUUGGUUUGCCUUUGUUGAGCCCGUUCCAAGGAAUCCCUCACUAGAUUCCAAAUGUUGAGUCUUUCCGCCGUGAAUGCCUCCACUGCGGGCAACUCUCCAUGAUACUCGGCCACGCCGAGUUCCACAGGACCUUCAAUAGCUCGCCCAUUGAUGACUUCCCAUGGACUCACCCCGAUACUCGAAUGUGGUGAGUUGUUAUAACACAUUUCCGCAAGUCCCAAAUGACUUACCCAAUCAGUCUGGUCUCCCGAGACAUAGCAUCACAAAUAAUCCUCCAGCUGCCUAUUCACCCUUUCCGUUUGUCCGUCUGUCAAGAAGUGUUAGUGCCAACAACUUGACUUAAUACCCCAUACCUGUCUGUGGGUGAUAGGCUGUGCUGAAUUUCAACUUGGUGUGAUACUGUUCCAGGAGAGUCCUCCAGAACCUACUAGUGAAGAUCUUAUCUUGAUCUGAGAUGAUCUCUUCCGGUCUUCCCCGCACUCGAACCACUUGUUCGAAGAACAGCUUUGCCACACCUUCCGCAUCCACCUCCGUUGUGGUGGGUAUGAAGUGUGCCAUUUUCGAAAAUUGGUCCACCACCACGAAUAUCGCAUCAAACCCCUCGCUUGGGAGGAGUCCCGUGAUGAAGUCCAUCGUAAGACAUUUCCACGGGCGAUCUGGAAUUGGGAUGCUUUGCAACAAGCCCCCACUAGCCUUAGUCACGGCUUUUACCUGCUGACAUGUUGGACAUGUCUUUACAUAGUCUUGGACGUCCUUAGCCAUAUCUGGCCAAUGGUACUUCCUUUUGAGUAAGCCCAUCAUCUUGGGCACUCCACCGUGUCCCGCAAGAGGUCCGUCAUGACACUCUUCUAAGGCCACCUUCCUUAGUUCCCCUUCUGGAAUAUACACCCUCGUUUGCUUGUAAUAAAUGAGUCCGUUGUGUUCCGCAUAGCCCGUUUUCUCUUCCGUUGGCAGCUCACCUCUCUGGUGAGCUUCCCGCGCCUCUAGAUUCCUCAGCAACACUUCCUGUGCUAGACCAUCGUUCUCAUAUGCUGUCCGCACAUCGUCCCAGAAGGUUGCUGUGGCGCUGGAUAUUGCCAACCUCAAGCUCGCUUUUCGACUUAGCGCAUCCGCCACGAUGUUGCUCUUCCCAGGCUUGUACAGAAUUUCGCAAUCAAACUCGGCCAAGGCAUUGGCCCACCGACCUUGUUUCCCUCUUAGGUCGGGCUGUGACAAGAAGUGUUUCGUUGCCACAUUGUCCGUGUAAACCUUGAAGUGUCUCCCAAGGUAGUGCCGCCACUCCUUGAGCGCCUUGACCACCGCAAACAAUUCCUUCUCGUGGGCAGGCCACUUCCGUUGAGCCUUGUCCAGCUUCUUCGAGAAGAACGCUACCGGAUGGUUGUCUUGCUUCAAAACUGCGCCCAACGCAAAGUCCGAAGCAUCCGUUUCUACCUCAAAGUCCUUACCAAAGUCCGGUAAUGCCAAUACGGGAGCCUUCCUCAACUUCCCCUUGAGGUGGACGAAUGCCGCCUCGCAUUCCGCUGUCCACACCAUCUUCCCUUUUCCUGUUUGGUCCGUUAAGGGCAGGGCUACUCUCGAAUAGUGUCUGAUAAACUUUCGAUAGUAGUUGCAUAGCCCCAGGAAUGCCCUCAACUCGUGUACAUUGGAUGGUCGCUCCCAUUCCUGGAUCGCUUGGACCUUCUCCGGGUCCACCUUGAGCCCAUCCUGGCCCACCACAUGCCCGAGAAACUUUACCUCUUGUUGAGCAAAGUCACAUUUGCUCUCUUUAGCAUACAGCUUGUGUUCCCUUAGUUUCUCAAACACCUUCGCCAAGUGUUCGGCAUGCUCCUCUAGCGUCUCGCUAUAGAUCAGGAUGUCGUCGAUAUAGACGACCACAAAGUGAUCCAGAUAGGGUACAAAGAUGUGGUUCAUUAGCGCCAAAAACGUUGCCGGCGCAUUGCAUAGCCCGAAGGGCAUCACCAGAAACUCAAAGCUCCCAUACCUCGUUUGACAGGUUGUCUUCUUGACAUCUUCCUCGGCUACCCUGAUCUGGUAGUAUCCUGACCUUAGGUCAAUCCUUGAGAAGUAUUUUGCCUUUCCCAACCUAUCGAACAGGUCCUCAAUCCUGGGCAAAGGGUACUUGUUCUUCUUUGUAUACUUGUUGAGCAACUGGUAGUCUAUGCACAUGCGCAUAGAUCCAUCUUUCUUCUUCACAAAUAACACCGGCGCCCCAUACGGCGACUUGCUCAACCUAACAUACCCUUUGUCCACCAACUCCUCUAGUUGGCACUUGAGCUCCUUGAGUUCUUUUUCGUUCAAACGAUAAGGGGGACGAACCACUGCCUCAGCACCCUCGACCAGCUCAAUCUUAUGUUCUAUCGGUCGUGCUGGGGGUAGCCCCGCCGGUAGCUCCUCCAGCAUGGUAUCCUGGAAUUGGUCCAACACCCGCUGGAUCACUAAAGGUACUUCUUCCAUUCCUGUCUUUUUGUCACUCUUCACCGAAAGUAAGCACAAAAAGGCCGCCUUAGUUCCUUUAGUGAGUUGUCCUCUCGUGGACACCAGGUUUAAGCAGGAAUCUUUGGCCUUGCUUUGCCCUACCUUUAAAUCUUGGGCCUCCACCCUAGAUCUUCUUCCUUGGGCAUUCGCCAGUACCACAAGGUUUCUACCUUGUCCAUGCAGGGCUACCACGAAUCAAUUGAACCAGUCCAUUCCGAAGAUCACGUCAAAUCCCGCCAUGUCCAACACGGUGAAAUCCAUGUCCACCUUCCAAGUCUCCACUUCGACUCUCGCUUGUCGAAGUACCUCAUCGGUGCUUUGGCUACCUUGAACAAACUCUAUAGUCCUUGGUUUGCCUAGCCGCUGCACCGUUAGUCCGGCUUGCCGGACUAUGUUUGCAGCUACAAAAUUAUCCAAAGCACCCGUGUCAAUAAGGAUUUUAAUAAAGCUACCUCCGAGCUUCCCUCGGAGGGCUAGUAGAUGUCGCGAAUGACUCUCUACCAAAGUUGCUCAUGUAAUGAGUAACUUUGAGUUAGGGACUGGAUCACAUACCUCCGUUUGGACUUCACCCGAUUUGAUGGCCAUAUUGGCUCUGGCCUUCUUCGGGUAAGGACAUUACCUCGAGAAGUGUCCCGCUUCACCGCAGUUGUAGCAUACGUUGUUUCCCACGCUGCUAUACGACUUGACCUUCUUAUCCGUGGGUUUGUCUCUUUUCGCUUGACUCCCCCACGUACUCGCUCGCUGGCCACCGGAUUUGCCUUUCCGGAACCCCGAGGACUCAUUCUUAGAGAAACUCCUCUUGAAUUUCCCUCUGCUAAACGUUCCCCUUGGUUUGGCCCCUUUGCUAAACGUGGAUCCCGACCCCGUCGUGUUCCUUUUUCACAGGUUAUCGUUGAAAUGCACCUUGAUGGCUGCAUCCAACGCUUCCUUGUAGUUGGUCGGGUUCCACCGCAUUACUUCGCCGCGAGCCCAGGUUUGCAAACCUGAUAUGAAGGCAUGGAAUGCAUCCAUAUCCCCCAUGUCCGUGACAAGUAUCCUCUUUGCCAUAAACCCAUUCACAUACUCCUGAAUGGUUCCGGUCUGCUUCAGCCUACUCAGCUCAUCCCUUAGGUGCAGAGUAGCAUUCGAAGGAACGUAAGUUGCGCGGAUCCUCGCCUUCAUCAUUUCCCAAGUGGCCACCGGUCCUUCGUUGGCCUCCGUUGUUCUCCACCAAGACUUGGCGUUAUCUGCCAAGUAUGGUUUUGCAUAUGGGACCUUCUCCGAGCUCGGUAAUCGCAACGCUCGGAAGUAGUCCUCCAUAUCGUAAAACCAAUCCUCCACCACCUUAUAGUCGUUCACUCCCUUGAAGACCGGUGGGGGCUUCGGUUUGUACUUGGGAACUGCCUGGGGGACUGAUUCCACUUCGGUUUGUUCGACCUUGUCUGGUUUUGCCUCAGUCCCUACCGAAGGGUCUGCACCUUCUGCGCUGCCAGCAUCCGCAGUCUUUCGCUUUUUCUUUCGCUUCUCGUCACGCUUUAGCUUGCGUACGAGAGUCUCUAGCAGGGCAUUGGUCUGUGCCAAUUGCCCUUCUAGAACGUCCAAUCGAGCCUUGGAUGACCGAACCUCACCACCGGACUCCUGUUUGGAAGUUGCCUCACUGGAGUCCUCCUCAUGCAACGAUUCCUCAUCCAUAGCCUCUUGUUCGACCGGAGGCUCCAGCUCUGGAGGAGGUUCUGUUUCCGCCUGGGUUCGCUUACGUCCUGCCCUUGCCAUCUCCCAGCAAUCCGCCUCUAUCCUUCGCUAGAACUGAGGAAGAGGCUCCGAUACCAAAUUGUAAGCCACAAAUUUUUCCUUUCCAAUUUGCCAGCUUACCUCGUCUAUCCGACCAACUCUGCCUUGGCUUGUGCUAAGUUCCCUCGCCAAGGUUCUCACCUAUGGUACCAGCUCCUACUUGGUCCUACUUGGUUUCAGCUACUCACUACACGAGCAACGGAGUGUUAGCCAUCCAUCUACGGAUUCCCAAAUCUCUCCCAAUCCCCCUCCCCGGGUUAGACUGGACUUAAGGUUCGGCUACACUCCCCGCAGGCACAAGCAGCCAAGCACACCAAGCCUCCAGAUUCCUAACACCCCUUGGUACCACAAGACUUGAUCAUGGGACCCUCUAAAUCCCAAGUUUUGGGUGUAGCACUUGCUUCGGGACGUCGGGGCGAAACACCGUGGCCUAACGGCCCAGUAUGGGUACCUCUACCCCCCCUCUUCCAUCCCGAAGGGAAGGCCCAAGCCCCCAGAAGGGCGAGGACCAAUGAGCCACAAGGUACUCAAGUGGGGCACCACUUCACCUGAGCCGGGAGCACUGCAGUCGGUUUCCCUUUCGGGAAUGGGAGCUGCUCUUGAGCACUUCCUUGGAUGGCCCCUCCGGCACCAGCCAAGUCCAUGCUCACUCCCACCCAAGGCCCUCGGUCCCAGUCUCAACCUCAAGUCGGUUUGGAAGCCCAACUGGAGAGUCCCUUCAAAACUGGUUCCUGGACCUCACUAUUCCUACUAUACUUUUGGAACCCCCUGCAGCCCCCCCCCCCCCCCCCCUUGGGAGACGCACGCUUUGGGCUUUCACCCCUUGACCCGUAUUAGUAUUUGGACUUAGUCUCUGGCUCAAUCUCGGACCCGAUUUCGGAUCCAACUUCGGAUUCGGUCUCGGACUCGAUCUCGGACUCGAUCUCGGACCCGAUCUCGGACCCGACCUUGGACCCGACCUCGGACUCGACCUCGGACUCGGUCUCGGACCCGAUUUCGGAUCUCGGACUCCGUCUCGAACUCGGUCUCGAACUCGGACUCGAACUCGGUCCCCGAGUCGGUCUCGGACUCGAUUCCGGACUCUAUCUCGAACUCGGUCCUAGAGUCGGUCUUGGACUCGAUCCUCGACUUGGUCCCAUCCGAUAAACUCUUUGUCAUUUCGGUCAAGCUUUUGGGGAUCCUUUAGCCUACGACAUCUCGGGGAGUCGGUUCCUUACAGUUAUGCCCUUCGAUUCCUAUGGUUUGGUUCUAUCCCCUUACUACUUGAUUUUUGGCUUCACACCUUUCCUUCGGUUAUUCGCCUCCAAACUAGGAGGAUAGUUUUGCACUUUCUACCAUGCCUUAGGAAGUAUUCUUGGGGAUGAACCUACCCGACAGCCUAGGGAGUGGUUCCUCAAUCCAGGUAUGCUCACCUUAUAAUCCCACACACCGGGAUUAACGUUGUUGUUUAUGGGCCCUUACAUGCCCAUCACUAACCUUGCCAAAAUUCCAUUUUUGGCUUUGUCCAAUUCGGGUAAACAGUCUUCUCCUGUCUCCGCAACCUUGGACAUUUGGAUAGCACCUUCUAUCCAUCAUUCACGAGGAACUUAGUCCCUUAGGCCUUAUCUAUUGCCCUUGCAACACUAAACACCACCUCCUGGUGUUCCAGAGUGUUUGGGUGUCCCAAUGAUGGUCUCCUUGAUAAUGAGCAUUUCCUUUUAUGACAUUGACUCACUAUAUCGCAACAUAAGCAAUUUAUCCCCUAUAAGGGUAUAUCUAACUUCCUUAUGCCAUUUAGAAGUCUUGGGUAGCUACCUUCUACCCAUUUAACCAAUUAUGUUUAUACCUCUUGCUUAGUUGCCCCAUAGUUGUCAAGUCUUACAACUCAUUGCUUAGUGCUUCCACACCUCCAUCAUUAUCUGGGUCACCACACUCCAACUGCAUGCCUUUCAGCUUAGGCCAUGCCAUUUCCGCUUUCAUUGGGAUUCCCUUAGCAAGGGGUUUUUAUGAACCCACCAUCAUAACCUCAAGGUAUCACACCUUGGCACAUUUGGUGUCUCCACACCAUCGGCUCCACGAGCCUACCUCUAUGACACUUUUUACUUGUGUUUAGGUCUUUGCCAAGUCUAAAGUAGUCAUUUUUCAUGCCAACUAUCAGUUAGCACUGCACCAUAGUGCACACACAACUCUAUGCCAAAGUUGCUUUCUUUUUGGGGAACACCUUUCCCACAACUUUAGCAUAACACAUUCUGCCAUCGAUGAGAUACCCUCUAUUCUCAUCCUUAGAUCCUAUGAUCCCCCCCAUCCUUCGUGGGGUACAACACACCUUAGUCCAAAUGCUUCUAUCAGUCCUUUAGGACGAUUCCUUGACUCUACUUGAAUCAUCUAGCAGUUUUGGACUUGGUUAAUCCACAGAUUCGUAAGGUCCUACUUGUGAGGCACCAACUCACUAGAAUACAACUUCUUGCAUUCAUGUCCUACUCAUAAGGACUAUUUUCACAAGUGUUACUCUGACACUUGAUUUUGUUCUCUGGGGGCAACCUCUGCCCCUUAGGACUACUUGUCCAUGUGAUGAGAAUACCAACUCAUCCUCUAAGUACAUCCCCAACUCCUUGGGUUGUUCCAGCAUUCAUCAAGGGUAGCCUCGGCUACCAUUUCAAGGACUUGUGUCCUCUUCUGUAUUUAACCUCCCAUGGUCAUCAAUUCCAAUCUCAAAGUUAUGAGCACUAGCCUCAACUAUAUGAGGUAAUCUUGUGACUCCUUUAUUGUUUUGGAGUCUACAUCUUUCCCGUGAUCCCAACUAUAGUUAUUUACCACAACUAUGUUAGCCCGUUUGCUGCGUGAAACACUCAUCUGGAUCACAUCCUCAGCUCUCUGAGGAAACCUUAUACUGUUCCCAAGAUCCCAAAGUCAUUCCAUUAUUGGCCCUUUUCUAUCCACCACAUCGUGCCCAAGUUCACGCAUGAACUUGAGUGGAGAGCCAUGUCCUCUCGACAUGCUACUCCUCAAGGAUAGGCCCACUCCUAGGACCUUCCGAUGCCAGCAUCAAUGGUGAUAUACUUAAGCACCAAUAAAAGUCGGACUAAGGAACUUGGCUCCGAUACCAAGUUAUAAGCGACUAAAUUUUCCAUUCUACUUUAGUCAUUUAACCACACCUCCGACCACUUGGAAGAGUCUCAUUCACAACCUCCAUAAGUCCAAUUUAGAACUUGGGACUUGCUAGCCCCAAGAAUGGCAUCCAUGCCACUCAACCUUUGCACCUGGUCCAAAUGCUCCACAUGUCCGAUCCCAUGAUUGACACUCAAAGGUACCACCGACAUAGCAGCCUGUUACACUAAGGCCAUGUCCAAUCACCUUUACCGCACUGGUAGUCUAAUACCACUUGCAACACAGUCUUGUCUCUUCAAGACUGGGCCAACCAUCCGUGAAUGGUCAUCUCAGAUCCACUCCUUAGCAUCCUUAGGAUGCCCACUGACAAGGGGAACAACCUUCCCCAAUAUCCCUCUGUCCGUCCCCACUAAGUCCCUUUUUGCCCUUGGCCGUGUUUGCCAACACUGCCACUGGGUCGAGGCCCACAAGCCUGACCACUAAGUCCCAUGGUCCUCUGGGACUUCCUCACCACGUGACCGUAUCCUUGGCCACCACACCAAAGAACUGCUCCUUUUCCUUUCCACAGUCUGGGACUUUGGGACAACACUUCAGAAUACCGUGGCCUUACAUAAGCCACCUGGGUACUCUCCCCGCCUUCCACCUUUGGGUGCUCUAGCCAUGGGCUUAGAGCGAGGUUCCGUUGAGCCACGCUUGGUAUCCAAGUAGGUAGUGCCACCCACACUUGGACUGGGAGUAUCGGCUAGUCGAUCUCCCGGGGGAACUAGAGCUGGCUCUUGAACAUUUCACCAAGCUACCUCGCUUGUCGGUCCGUAUUCACUCUAGUCUUGGACUUCCCAGUGGUCAGUUCAUCACCCAACACUGGAUCUGGCCUUCCUGGGCCAAACUGGCCUUUCCUGGCCAAACUGGCUCCAUUGCAGUCCUCCCCCUUACUAUACUUUUGGAGCUCACCAAACCCCCCAGGGUCUGGGAGACGAACACUUUGGGCUUUCACCCUCUCAGACUCGAACUCAGACUCGGACUUGGACUCGGACUCAGGCUCGGGCUCGGUCUCGGCCUCGAUCUCGGUCCCGGUCUCGGUCUCGGUCUCGGUCCCGGUCUCGGUCUCGACCUCGGACUCCAUCUCGGGUCCUUCUCGGACUCCAUCUCGGAUUCCAUCUCGGGUCCAUCUCAGACUCCAUCUCGGACUCUGUCUCGGUCUAUCUCGAACUCCAUCUCAAACUCCAUCUCGGGUCCAUCUCGGACUCCAUCUCGAACUCUGUCUCGGUCCAUCUCGGACUCCAUCUUGGACUCUAUCUCGGGUCCAUCUCGGACACUUCCAUGUGUCAUGUGUUAGUCCUUUUUGGGUCCCUUUUUGGAGCCUUGCUUAUUGGUUGCCUCAUGCUCGCUCCUUGAGCACUUUGUUGGGAGUUCCACUCCCGCUCUCGACCUUCCAAGUCGGAGCUUUUGGUCCAAACGUGUUACGCUCGUUUGGCUUUCGCUUCGGCCACUACCACAUGGCACCCUUUUCGGCUCCACUUUGGGGCCUAGGGAUUUUGUGUCUCACAAUUCUCUUGAAAAGUGUCCUGCUUCACUGCAGUUGAAACAUAUGUUAUUUCUUACACUACUAACAAACUUAGCCUUCGUAUCAAUGGGUUUGUCUUUUUUCGCUUGCCUUCAUUUGUACUCCCCCACAUACUUGCUCACUGGCGACUAGAUCUGCCUUUCCAAAACCCUAAGGAUUCAUUUUUAUAAAACAAAUUCCUAAAUUUCCCUUUGCCAUAUAUCCCCUUGGUUUGGCUCAUUUGUUAAAUGUAGAUUCUGACCCAGUUGUGUUCCCCUUUCACAAAUUAGCAUUGAAAUGCACCUUAAUAAUUGUAUCCAAUGUUUCUUUGUAGUUAGUUGGGUUCCAAUGCAUCAUCUCGCCUCGAACCCAAAUCUGUAAGCCUGAUAUGAAGGCAUAGAAUACAUCCAUGUUGCCCAUAUCUGUGACAAGAAUCCUCUUCGCCAUGAAUGGAUUCACAUAUUCUUGAAUGGUUCUUAUCUACUUCAGCCUACUUAACUCAUUUAUUAGGUGUAGAGUAGCAUUUAGGGAAUAUAAAUUUCAUGGAUCCAUGCCUUCAUCAUUUCUCAAAUGGUCAUUAGCCCUUCGUUAGCCUCUGUUGUUCUCCACCAACACUUAGCAUUAUCAGUCAAGUAUGGUUUUGCAUAUAGGACCUUCUUCGAGCUAAGUAAUUGCAACACUUAGAAUCUUCUAUAUCGUAAAACUAGUCCUCCACCACUUUAUAGUCAUUUACUCCCUUGAAGACUGGUAAGGGCUUUGGUUUGUAGUUGGGAACUAUUCGAGGGACUAAUUCCACUUCAGUUUGUUUGACCUUAUUCGGUUCUGCCUCAGUCCCUGCCAAAGGGUCCACGCCUUUUACACUAGUAGCAUCUGAAGUCUUUUGCCUUUUCCUCUAUUUUUUAUCAAGCUUUAGCUUGUGUACGAGGGUCUCCAAUAGCACAUUAGUCUGUGCCAAUUGUCCUUUUAGAAUGUCCAAUUGAACCUUGGAUGACUGAAUCUCACCACUAAACUUCUAUUUGGAAGUUUCCUCACUGGAGUUCUCCUCUUGCAAAGAUUCUUCAUCCAUAACUUCUUGUUCUACUGGAGGAUCCAGCUCUAGAGGAGGUUCCAUCUCUACUUUAGCUCUUUUAUGCCUUACCUUAGCCAUCUUCAAGUAAUCUGCCUCUAUCUUUCGUUAGAAUUAAGGAAAAGGCUCCAAUACCAAAUUGUAAUUUACAAAUUUUUCCUUUCUAAUUUAUUAGUUUACCUUGUAUAUUCGACCACCACUACCUUAGCCUUAGUUAAGUUCUUUUGCCAAAGUUCCCACCUAUUAUACUAGUUUCUAUUUGGUUCUACUUGGUUUUAACUACUCACUACACAAGCAAUAAAGUGUUAACCAUCCAUCCAUAGAUUCCUAAUUUUUCUCCCAAUCCCCCUCUUUGGGUUAGACUAAAGUUUGGCUAUACUCCUUGCAAGCACACCAAGCCUUUAAAUUCCUAGCAUCUCUUGGUACAAUAAAACUUGAUUAUGGGACUCUCUGAAUCCCAAGCUUUAUGUGCAUCAUUUACUUUGGGACCCCAGGGGGAAACACCAUCACCUAAUGGCCCGGUAUGAGUACCCUUACCCCCCCCACUUCCAUCCUGAAGGGAAGGUCCAGGCCGCUAGGAAGGAGCAAGGACCAAUGAGCCAUAAGGUACUCAAGUGGGGCACCACUCUACAUGAGUUGGGAGCACUAUAGUCAAUUUCCCUUCUAGGAGUGAGAGUUCUUUUUGAGCACUUCUUUGGAUAACCCCUCUGGCAGCACUUGAAUCCAUAUUCACUCCCACCUGAGGCCCCUAAGCCCCAAUUUCAACCUCAAGUUAGUUUAAAAGCACCACUAAAGAGUUCCUUCAAAACUAAUUCUUAAACCUCACUAUCCUUUCUAUACUUUUGGAACCUUUUGCAACUGCCCCUUCCUUGUGGGAUGAUUGCUUUGGGCUUUCACCCCAUGACCUAUAUUAGUAUUUGGACUCGAUCUUAGACUCGAUCUCAAACUUAACCUUGAACUCAGUCUCAAACUCAAUCUCGGACUUGAUCUUGGACCUGACGUCAGACUCAAUCUCGGACUCGAUCUUGGACUCAGUUUUGGUCUCAGACUCGAUCUUGGAUCUCAGACUUGGUCUUAAACUCGGUCUCAAACUUGGUCUCGGAGUCAGUCUCAGACUCAAUCUCAGACACAGUUUCAAACUCAGUCUCGAACUCGAUCUCGGACUCGAUUUCAAACUCGGUCUUGAACUCAAUCUCGGAGUCGGUCUUCGACUCAAUCUCAAACUUAGUCUAAUUUAAUGAACUUUUUAUCAUUCCGGUCAUGGUUUCAGGGAUCCUUUAGCCUAGAGUUGGUUUUCUUACAUUAGUGUUUUUUCUUGAUUUGUAAUGUUUUCUUCUCUUGGCAUAUCAAUCAUUUAUAACUCUUAUAAUUUAAUUCUCAGUCCACUGUUCAAUUGAGUGUUUUCUGUCCUUCUUAUACUAAUUUAGAUAUUGAAUAUAUGCAUGAAAUUGAGAAUCUUGCAUUUGUUUCAUUAGUAAAGUCUAUGAUUAAUUUUAAUAUUGAGUAUUUCCUUGUUCCAAAGGUUGAGUCACUUCAACUAGAGUUUCAGAUGGAGUGCCUAUCCCCACUUGUGAGUGCUAUUGAGAAUCUUUAUUUUACCGUUGUUGUUGAGGAGUUUAUAUGCUCUCUUAAGAAUAUGAACGUUUUUAUUAUUUUCCUAUUUCAAGUGUUGAGGAGGUUGAGUAGUGUGAAUUUUUUGCUUAUAGUAUGGUAGGCUUUUAUCACAUAUCCUUCCUUUUUCCUUAUUUCUAUAUUGCUAACUAUUGAAAAUUCCUCUUCUUAAUGCUUCUUUGUCUAUUUUUUCUUACUCCCAUAACAGUUUUUCCUUAAUUUUCUCACUUUUUCCUUUUUGCCUCGAUAUUUUAAACUUUUUUUUCUUCAAAGGAGGGGGUAAAGGGGGUGGACAAGAGUCCAACCCUAAUGAUGAAGUGAUGAUGAGUGGAUACAAUAAUGAACCAAGGAUAAAUAAUAUAAAUUGUGAAGUGAAGACAAGCAUAGUGUGUCCAAAAAGAAUAUUUGGCCUCAAUAUAAUGUGACUGAGUGAAGUGAAACCAAACAUAAAUGGUAAAGUGAGAACAAACAUAAAUUUGAAUGGAGAAAAUUCUUUAGAAUUUAUUUUCCUUUGAAGAGGGGGUAAGGAGGAUGUGGAAGAUGAACAAAGUGAAUUUGACCUCCCAUAUAUAGUGCUAGAUGAAAGCAAAGGUUGUGAGUCCGAGUUAACACAAGUCUUGGAUGUUGACUGGAGGGAAGACUCAAAGAUAAAUUUGGAUUAUGGUUAUGAGUUUGAAUUAAUAAUGGUCUCAAAAGAUUAUCUAUGGGUAGAUUUAAAGGUGGGAUAUUGCAAUAGUGCUUUAUGGACUAUAGUAACUCUUGAAGUUCCUUGCUUUCAUUCAAAAUUAUAGCUUUAAGGUUGAUAUAUAUAUUCAUAUUAAAUUUAUUAUUGGGUCUACAAAACCAUUUUAAAGACUUGACUUAGAAGUCUUUUUAACUUUUAUAGUAAAUAAUAAAUAUUAUUACUCAUGUAAAUACUUAUUUUAAUUAGUACUUAGCUCCCACAAUUAAAACUUAUUUAUUUUUAUAAAAUUCUAAUCAGAUACAGUAACAUAUUAAUAAAUCUUCUCUUUCACAGUAACAUAUUAAUAAAUAUUCUCUUUCAUAGUUUUUUAUUCACUAGUAAAUUUCCUUUCAUUUACAACCAUUAAACAAGGUCAAAAUUUUAAUUUUAAAACAUUAUAAAGGUUUGAUAAAGAUGACUAUUAGGUCAGAUGUUUGCCGACAGCACUGCCACGGAUUCAAGGCUGGAGAUUUACGAGGAAUGAAGCGCGAUGAGCGCCUCACUCUCAACUUCGUGGGUCACACGUUCGUGGUUAUGGACACGCACGAGGACAAGAUCCUGUUCGUCCGCGACCGCAUUCGCGAACGCUUCCACAGCUAUGUCAUCUUUUGUAACACAGCUGAUUCGGUGGCGCUCGUCUCCAGCGCCCUCCUCUCUCCAGCGAAUGACAUGAAAUACAAUCCUUUCGACACCUUUCU